rnacentral:rRNA from 1 species
ACUGACGACAUGGUUCUACUGCCUGUUUAUCAAAAACAUGUCUCUUUGAAGCUGUAAAGAGUCUGGCCUGCCCACUGAAUUAUUAAAGGGCCGCGGUAUUUCUGACCGUGCGAAGGUAGCAUAAUCAUUAGUCUUUUAAUUGAAGGCUUGUAUGAAAGGUUGGACGAGAGAGAAGCUGUCUAC